rnacentral:rRNA from 1 species
UGGGGAAUAUUGCACAAUGGGGGAAACCCUGAUGCAGCGACGCCGCGUGAGCGAAGAAGUAUUUCGGUAUGUAAAGCUCUAUCAGCAGGGAAGAAAAUGACGGUACCUGACUAAGAAGCCCCGGCUAACUACGUGCCAGCAGCCGCGGUAAUACGUAGGGGGCAAGCGUUAUCCGGAUUUACUGGGUGUAAAGGGAGCGUAGACGGCAUGGCAAGCCAGAUGUGAAAGCCCGGGGCUCAACCCCGGGACUGCAUUUGGAACUGUCAGGCUAGAGUGUCGGAGAGGUAAGCGGAAUUCCUAGUGUAGCGGUGAAAUGCGUAGAUAUUAGGAGGAACACCAGUGGCGAAGGCGGCUUACUGGACGAUGACUGACGUUGAGGCUCGAAAGCGUGGGGAGCAAACAG